GGAGAGUUGGCCGAGUGGCUGAAGGCGACGGUUUGCUAAACCGUUGUACGGGGAAACCUGUACCGGGGGUUCGAAUCCCCCACUCUCCG
rnacentral:tRNA from 1 species